UACGAAGGGGGCUAGCGUUGCUCGGAAUCACUGGGCGUAAAGCGCACGUAGGCGGAUUUGUAAGUCAGGGGUGAAAUCCUGGAGCUCAACUCCAGAACUGCCUUUGAUACUGGCGAUCUUGAGUCCGGGAGAGGUGAGUGGAACUCCGAGUGUAGAGGUGAAAUUCGUAGAUAUUCGGAAGAACACCAGUGGCGAAGGCGGCUCACUGGACCGGUACUGACGCUGAUGUGCGAAAGCGUGGGGAGCAAACAGG
rnacentral:rRNA from 1 species